UACGGAGGAUGCGAGCGUUAUCCGGAUUUAUUGGGUUUAAAGGGUGCGUAGGCGGGCUGUUAAGUCAGCGGUAAAAGCCCGGGGCUCAACCCCGGCGAGCCGUUGAAACUGGCUGUCUUGAGAUGUCGAGAGGUAUGCGGAAUGCGCAGUGUAGCGGUGAAAUGCUUAGAUAUUGCGCAGAACUCCGAUUGCGAAGGCAGUAUACCGGCGGCGAUCUGACGCUGAGGCACGAAAGCGUGGGUAUCGAUCAGG
rnacentral:rRNA from 1 species